UACGUAGGGGGCUAGCGUUAUCCGGAAUUACUGGGCGUAAAGGGUGCGUAGGUGGUUUCUUAAGUCAGAGGUGAAAGGCUACGGCUCAACCGUAGUAAGCCUUUGAAACUGGGGAACUUGAGUGCAGGAGAGGAGAGUGGAAUUCCUAGUGUAGCGGUGAAAUGCGUAGAUAUUAGGAGGAACACCAGUUGCGAAGGCGGCUCUCUGGACUAUAACUGACACUGAGGCACGAAAGCGUGGGGAGCAAACAGG
rnacentral:rRNA from 1 species